rnacentral:rRNA from 1 species
UAUUGAGAGUUUGAUCCUGGCUCAGGAUGAACGCUGGCGGCGUGGAUAAGGCAUGCAAGUCGAACGAGCCAGUGCGUAGCACUGGGAUAACCAAUAACCAAGAAACAAUAACCAAAUUUAUUUUGGAAUUUGUAUCUUGCAUCUUGGAAAUUCCAGCGCUACGCGCUGGUUAGUGGCAAACGGGUUAGUAACACGUAGGUAACUUUCCUUGAAGUCCGGCAUAAUUCCGCGAAAGCGGGACUAAUUCCGGAUGGAAAUGAGGGGGCGAAAGCCAUUCUCAUUUAAAGCCCCGCCUUGCGGGGCGCUUCAAGAGAGGCCUGCGUCCUAUCAGCUAGUUGGCGAGGUAACGGCUCACCAAGGCAAUGACGGGUAGGGGGACUGAGAGGUCGGCCCCCAACAUCGGGACUGAGACACUGCCCGGACUCCUACGGGAGGCUGCAGUCGAGAAUCUUCCCCAAUGGGCGAAAGCCUGAGGGAGCGACGCCGCGUGAAUGAAGAAGCCCUUCGGGGUGUAAAAUUCUUUUAUAGAGGAACAAUUUUUGAGAUUACUUUAUGAAUAAGGACUUGCUAAACUCGUGCCAGCAGCAGCGGUAAUACGAGUGGUCCAAGCGUUAUCCGGAAUUACUGGGCGUAAAGGGUCCGUAGGGGGCUUGAUUAGUCUUGCGUUAAAUUUAGGGGCUCAACCCUUAAGCUGCGCAAGAAACGGUCUAGCUAGAGGGCAUAAGAGGCUGAUGGAACAUACGGUGUAGGGGUGAAAUCCGUUGAUAUCGUAUGGAACACCAAAGGCGAAGGCAUUCAGCUGGUGUGACCCUGACCCUGAGGGACGAAAGCGUGGGGAGCAAAAAGGAUUAGAUACCCUUGUAGUCCACGCCCUAAACGAUGAUGACUGGCUAUUUGAAGUGUCGACCCUUCAAGUGGCGAAGCUAACGCGUUAAGUCAUCCGCCUGGGAAGUACGAUCGCAAGAUUAAAACUCAAAGGAAUAGACGGGAACUCGCACAAGCGGUGGAGCAUGUGGUUCAAUUCGACGAUAAGCGAGGAACCUUACCAAGGUUAGAAAUCCUGACGAAUGCCGGCAGAAACGUCGGCAGUCUCACAAGGACAUUAGGACAGGUGAUGCACGGUUGUCGUCAGCUCGUGGCGUGAGCUGUUCUCUUAAGUGAGGAAACGAGCGCAACCCCCAUGUUGUGUUACAAGUGUCACAACAAACUGCCUCGGACAACGGGGAGGAAGGUGGGGAUGACGUCAAAUCAGCGUGUCCCUCUGACACCUUGGGCUACACACGUGCUACAAUGGCCGGUACAAAGAGUCGCGAAGCCGUAAGGCGGAGCUAAUCUCACAAAGCCGGCCCCAGUUCGGAUUGAGGGCUGCAACCCGCCCUCAUGAAGCCGGAAUCGCUAGUAAUCGCGGAUCAGCCAUGCCGCGGUGAAUACGUUCUCGGGUUUUGUACUCACCGCCCGUCACUUCAAGGGAGCCGGGAAUACCGGAAGUCUGACUUUAUGUCGGAACAAGGUAGAUUCGGUAACAGGGAAGAAGUCGUAACAAGGCAUCCCUAGCGGAAGCUGGGGAUGGAUCACCUCCUUUCU